GACGAACGCUGGCGGCGUGCUUAACACAUGCAAGUCGAACGGAAAGGCCUCUUUCGGGGGGUACUCGAGUGGCGAACGGGUGAGUAACGCGUGAGUAACCUGCCCUUGACUUUGGGAUAACUUCAGGAAACUGGGGCUAAUACCGGAUAGGAGCUCCUGCUGCAUGGUGGGGGUUGGAAAGUUUCGGCGGUUGGGGAUGGACUCGCGGCUUAUCAGCUUGUUGGUGGGGUAGUGGCUUACCAAGGCUUUGACGGGUAGCCGGCCUGAGAGGGGGACCGGCCACAUUGGGACUGAGAUACGGCCCAGACUCCUACGGGAGGCAGCAGUGGGGAAUCUUGCACAAUGGGUGGAAGCCUGAUGCAGCAACGCCGUGUGCGGGAUGACGGCCUUCGGGUUGUAAACCGCUUUCGCUCAUGACGAAGCUUUGUGUGACGGUAGUGGGUAAAGAAGCACCGGCUAACUACGUG
rnacentral:rRNA from 1 species